UACGGAGGGAGCUAGCGUUGUUCGGAAUUACUGGGCGUAAAGGGCGCGUAGGCGGCCUUCUAAGUCGAACGUGAAAUCCCCGGGCUCAACCCGGGAACUGCGUCCGAUACUGGAAGGCUUGAAUCCGGGAGAGGGAUGCGGAAUUCCAGGUGUAGCGGUGAAAUGCGUAGAUAUCUGGAGGAACACCGGUGGCGAAGGCGGCAUCCUGGACCGGCAUUGACGCUGAGGCGCGAAAGCCAGGGGAGCAAACGGG
rnacentral:rRNA from 1 species